UACGUAGGGGGCUAGCAUUGUCCGGGAUUUAUUGGGCGUAAAGCGCACGUAGGCGGCCUGUUAAGUCGGAUGUGAAAGCCCCGGGCUCAACCCGGGAAGUGCAUUCGAAACUGGCAGGCUUGAAUAUGGAAGAGGGUCGCGGAAUUCCCGGGUGUAGAGGUGAAAUUCGUAGAUAUCGGGAGGAACACCAGUGGCGAAGGCGGCGACCUGGGCCGAA
rnacentral:rRNA from 1 species